rnacentral:miRNA from 1 species
GAGGGUGCGUGUGUGUGUGUGUGUGUGUGUGUGUCCACACAUGCCUGCGGGCAUGCA